AGAGCGAACGCUGGCGGCAGGCUUAACACAUGCAAGUCGAGCGGGCGUAGCAAUACGUCAGCGGCAGACGGGUGAGUAACGCGUGGGAACGUACCUUUUGGUUCGGAACAACCCAGGGAAACUUGGACUAAUACCGGAUAAGCCCUUACGGGGAAAGAUUUAUCGCCGAAAGAUCGGCCCGCGUCUGAUUAGCUAGUUGGUGAGGUAAUGGCUCACCAAGGCGACGAUCAGUAGCUGGUCUGAGAGGAUGAUCAGCCACAUUGGGACUGAGACACGGCCCAAACUCCUACGGGAGGCAGCAGUGGGAAUAUGGACAAUGGGCGCAAGCCUGAUCCAGCCAUGCCGCGUGAGUGAUGAAGGCCCUAGGGUUGUAAAGCUCUUUGUGCGGGAAGAUAAUGACGGUACCGCAAGAAUAAGCCCCGGCUAACUUCGUGCCAGCAGCCGC
rnacentral:rRNA from 1 species